GAUGAACGCUGGCGGCGUGCUUAACACAUGCAAGUCGAACGAUGAUGCCCAGCUUGCUGGGUGGAUUAGUGGCGAACGGGUGAGUAACACGUGAGUAACCUGCCCUUGACUCUGGGAUAAGCCUGGGAAACUGGGUCUAAUACCGGAUACGACCAUCUGGCGCAUGUCAUGGUGGUGGAAAGCUUUUGUGGUUUUGGAUGGACUCGCGGCCUAUCAGCUUGUUGGUGGGGUAAUGGCCUACCAAGGCGACGACGGGUAGCCGGCCUGAGAGGGUGACCGGCCACACUGGGACUGAGACACGGCCCAGACUCCUACGGGAGGCAGCAGUGGGGAAUAUUGCACAAUGGGCGCAAGCCUGAUGCAGCGACGCCGCGUGAGGGAUGACGGCCUUCGGGUUGUAAACCUCUUUCAGUAGGGAAGAAGCGAAAGUGACGGUACCUGCAGAAGAAGCGCCGGCUAACUACGUGC
rnacentral:rRNA from 1 species